rfam:Tissierella praeacuta DSM 18095 genome assembly, contig: EK13DRAFT_scaffold00004.4
CUCUUAUCGAGAGAGGCGGAGGGAAUGGCCCUAUGAAGCCCGGCAACCUGUAUUAUUACAAGGUGCUAAAUCCAACGGUAUUUAUACCGACAGAUGAGAG